rnacentral:miRNA from 1 species
AUUAGAAUUACCCAGGGAGCUUUUAAAAAUCCUGAUGUCCAGGUCACACUCAAGACUAAUUAUAUUAGAAUCUCUGGCAUCAGUAGUUUUUAAAGUUCCCUGGUGAUUCCAAC